AUGGCCUGGCCUCUUGUCUGUCUCUCACUGCUCUCCUUCUGCUCAGGCUCCCUCUCCCAGCCUGUGCUGACUCAGCCUCCCUCUGCCUCUGCAGCCCUGGGGAGCUCGGCCAGACUCUCCUGCACCCUGAGCAGUCAGCACAGUGGUUAUACUGUUGAUUGGUACCAGCAGAGCCCUGGAAAGGCCCCUCGGUACCUCAUGUGGGUCGAUAGUGAUGGAGAUACAGGCAGGGCCGACGGGAUCCCUGAGCGCUUCUCUGGCUCCAGCUCUGGGGCUGAUCGAUUCCUGUCCAUCAGCAACGUCCAGGCUGAGGAUGAAGCCGAUUAUUUCUGUGGUCAUGGUUUUAGCAGUGGUAGUAGUUAUCGUUACCCACAGUGA